GACUGUUUACCAAAAACAUAGCCCCUGAAUAAAUCAGAGGUGUGACCUGCCCAAUGAUUAUAAAUUAACAAUUUUAGUAAAAUUUAAAUAUAAUUUAAAGGACGCGGUAUCUUGACCGUGAUAAUGUAGCAUAAUCACUCGCCAUUUAAUUGAUGGAUAGUAUGAAUGGUUGAACGAGUAUAACACUGUCUCAAAUAGAAAUUUUAUGAAAUUGGAAUAAUAGUAAAGAUACUAUUUAAAAUUGUAAGACGAAAAGACCCUAUAGAGCUUAACUAUUGUCUUUGUUAUUAAAAUGAAAUUUAUUUCCUUAACAUAAAGAUGGGUAGUUUAGUUGGGGCGACUGCUUUUUAGAAUAAACAAAAGCAAACGAUUAUUAAUAGUUUAAUUUACUGUAUAAUUUAUUAAUUUAACAGUUACCAAAGUAGGUUAUAAUGACCCGUUUCAGUUUAAGAAUAAAAGAAACGAUUAAUAAAUAAAAGCUACCUUAGGGAUAACAGGAUAAUUUUAUUCUAGAGAUCAUAUCGAAGAUGAAGUUUGUCACCUCUAUGUUGAAUUAAGAUAUCCUAAUGGUGCAGAAGCUAUUAAGGGUAGGUCUGUUCGACCUUUAAAAUCUUACAUGAUUUGAGUUCAUUCCGUA
rnacentral:rRNA from 1 species